rnacentral:pre_miRNA from 1 species
UAAAAUGAGAAAGUUAGUGUGUAUCCACUCUUGAUUUGAAUUAUCCAUUUCAAAUCAAGGGUGGAUACACUCUUACUUUCUCUCUUU